rnacentral:rRNA from 1 species
CCUACGGGGGGCAGCAGUGAGGAAUAUUGGUCAAUGGGCGCGAGCCUGAACCAGCCAUGCCGCGUGAAGGAUGACGGCUCUAUGGGUUGUACACUUCUUUUGUAACGGGGUAAAAUGCUCUACGCGUCGCGCUUUGCAAGUACCGUACGAAUAAGGAUCGGCUAACUCCGUGCCAGCAGCCGCGGUAAUACGGAGGAUCCGAGCGUUAUCCGGAUUCAUUGGGUUUAAAGGGUGCGUAGGCGGUUUUAUAAGUUAGCGGUGAAAGUCCGGUGCUCAACAACGGUAGUGCCGUUGAAACUGGAGGACUAGAGUACGGAUGAAGCAGGCGGAAUGUGUGGUGUAGCGGUGAAAUGCAUAGAUAUUACGCAGAACACCGAUUGCGAAGGCAGCUUGCUAGGCCGGAUCUGACGCUGAUGCACGAAAGUGUGGGUAUCGAACAGGAUUAGAUACCCUAGUAGUC